rnacentral:lncRNA from 1 species
AAAAAGUAAAGGAAUAUUGAAAAGAAAAAAAAACGUGGGAAUCUGUUAAUGUCCACAAAUGGGAAAUAUAUUUGUGUGACCAGGUUUUAAUAUCAUUUUGGCUUUUGGUUUUCUUGUAAAAAUUCAAACACGAAACAUCUCAUUACUAAAGGUAAGAGUCAAAUGUGCAAGUUCAGUGGUUUUAUCAAAUAAAAGUAAUGGUUUGAUUACAAAGUUUAUUACUAUUACGUCAAGAAGUCCGUAUGCCUUUUUGUAUCCCAAAGAAUGAUAACAAAAAAAAUAACAACAACAACAACCCAGUAUAAUCCCACUCAGUGGGGUCUGGGGAGGGUAGUGUGUAAGCAGACCUUACCCCUACCCUUGGGUAGAGAGGCUGUUUUCAAAUAGACCCCCAGCAUCCUUCCCUCCAAGAACUUCCCACCCUGCUCUUGGGGAUACUGAACUCACAACCUCUUGGUUGGAAGUGGGGGUAGCUUACCAUCAGAGCAACCCCUCUUGUCAAACAAACAAACAAAAAAAGUAGAAGAAUAUUGAAAAGAAAAAAAAACGUGGGAAUCUGUUAAUGUCCACAAAUGGGAAAUAUAUUUAUGUGACCAGGUUUUAAUAUCAUUUUGGCUUUUGGUUUUCUUGUAAAAAUUCAAACACGAAACAUCUCAUUACUAAAGGUAAGAGUCAAAUAAAAGUAAUGGUUUGAUUACAAAGUUUAUUACUAUUACGUCAAGAAGUC